rnacentral:lncRNA from 10 species
CUGAACUCCAAAUUAAAACCAGUGUAACAAAUUGCAUAAUAAAUACCUGUGAUUUUUAUGUUCCAGAGAUAACUCAAACUCUACUUCUUCAAAAUUAACCUUCUUCCAUUCACUUAGCCCUCCUUACAUCCUCCCCACACUCCCAACAUUCCCUUACCGGGGUCUACUAUUGUAUUUGUAAAAAUACUAUUGUAUUUGAUAAAAGUCAUCCCUUGGGAAAUUGGGUGUCAUUCUUGAUUCACUCCUUUCCCACAUUGCAGCAUAUAUUAGUAACUAUGUUCCAUUACUUCUAGCUUCUCAUAAUCUCAUACAUUUUGCUCUGUUUUUUCUGUGGUUGACUUAGUUCAAGCAAUUAUCAUUUCUCUCAUGGACCAUUUGAAUAGUCUUGUAACUGUUUUCCUUAUUGUGCCCCCCAGUGCAUCCCUCAUAUAGCAAGCAGAAUGAUCAUUUAGAAUGCAAAAUGCAACAUAGUAGUCUUCUGGGUAAAAUUCUUUAGUGAUUGUUCAUUGUCUACCACAGUAUGAAAUCUGAAAUCCUUACAUGGAAUAACAGAUUUUCAAGCUGUGGGUAUGACCCCUCCAGUUCGAAUACGAUUUUUCAUCUAGCCGAAGAAGUAAUACUGGCUACCAUUUACAAUGCAUGAUGUGUAGAUUACAUUCAUUAUCUCAUCAAAGCUUUAUUGUAAUAACAUUCUUUUAUAUUGGAAAUUAAUACAUAAAUAAUUUAAACAUAUAUUUUAUAAUUAAUUUAUUGUUAUAAUUACUACAAUUUUACAUAAGAAAAAAUUGAGAUUAAGAAAAGUAAAGUUGAUGGCUCAUAGUCAUGAAACCAGUUAGUGGCAUAGCUGGGUGGGAUUCAAAAACAAGCUAGCCUACCGCUAGAGCCCAGGAUUCUAACCUACACAUUAUGGCCACCAUGAACUACUUGAAGUUCUCUGAAUGUGCUAAGAAUUUUAAUCCAGGCAUUAUUUAUAUCUAGGUUACAAGAGAGAACUGAAUCACAUUUUUUUUUUAGUUUCCACACCUUGUAUUCAAAGGAAAUUUGUCACCCAAUAUUUUAUCAUAUUUUAGACAGUAGAUCUAAAUCCUACAAGUGAGAAGUGAAAGUAGAAGGGCUUCUUUGCAUUUUCACAAUAUUUAAUGUUGGAAACUUUGAAUAUAAACUGAAUUUUUCCCUGACAAUUAGUUGAUGUUUUUCCAGCCUUUACAAUGACAUAAACAGUACUUGAUGCAUUGCAAAGAUUUUUUUCUUAAAUAACUAAAUGAAGGCAAGAAAGUUUUUAAGAUGACAAUUACAAAGUCAUGAAAUUUAUUUAUUUUUCUCCUGGGGGAGACAGACUCACAGCAAGCUUUUUGUACAGAGAAAAAUAAACAAAUAAAAAAUAAACAGUUUCUUUGUUGAAACUGAAGGUUGUUCAGUGAAUUGAAAAUAUGCACAUAACUAGGGUAUGCAUAUUUAUGCUAUUUGGAGGGUGCUCCAUGUCAUUUUAUUAAGGAAACCAGAUAUAAAUGGAUACUGCUAUGGUUUGGAUAUGAUUUGUUUGUUUCCCCUGAAACUCAUGUUGAAAUUUCAUCCCCAAGCGUGGUUGUAUUGGGAGGUGGAGCCUAGUCGGAGUUUUUUAGGUCAUGGAGGGAUCCCUCACGAGUACAUUAAUAACCUCCUGCUGGGGUGAGUGAGUUCUUGCUCACUCAUGGGGAUGGAUUAGUUCUUGAGAAAGUAGGUUAUUAAAAAGUGUCUGGCCUCUUCGGUUUCACUCUCUUGCAUCCUGUCUUGCCAUGUGAUGUCUUCACACCUGUCUGCUUCGUCUUUGAGAUUCUCCACCGUGUGAUAAUGCAGCACAAAAGCUCUUGCCAGAAGUCAGGCCUAUGCCCUUGAACUUCCCAGCCUGAAAAAUUGAAAAUUAAGGCCUGCAAAGAUUGAGUGAAAAUUUCAGUGUCCCACUGCUCAUAUGCCUGAAGUUCAUUCGAAUACAAGCAAUCUGGAUCCAGAGCCCUUGCUGUUAAGCAUGACAUAGACUUUUUCCAGAAACUUUUGAUGUUUUCUCCUACAUAGCUCCUUUCUGCAUUCUGGUCAGUGUUUCACUUUUUAGUCAGUUGCCUUACAAGACUCAUGCCAUGGACACAAUCUCCACUUGAGGACAUUAACUUUACUCUUUUAUCAUCACUUGGCCAGGCAAGUGUACUUAGGAAAAAGCAUCUAGGCUUGAGAAUAAAAAUUUUGAUAUUGCUCUUUUUGCAUUGUCACAAUUCAUUUUUUUGUGUGUAUUUCACAAAGGAGGAUCUGUGGUUAAAUAAAUUUGGGAAAAGCUAGGCUAAACAAACUGAAAUAGAAUUUUUAAAUCAGAUGAUCUUGCAAAAAUUUUAAUGUACUAUAUAUAGGGAUUCUUCACAGAUGGAAAUUUCACAAAAUUAUUUUAAUUAUUUUUGAGACAGGGUCUCACCGUGUCACCUAGGCUGGAAUGCAGUGGUAUAAUCAUAACUCAUUGUAGACUCAAACUUCUGGACUCAAGCAAUUCUCUUACCUUAGCUUCCCGAGUAGUUGAGACUACAGCCAUGCACUACCAAGCCCAGAAAAUUUUCAAAACAUUUUUUUUCUUUUUUUUUUUUUGGAGAGACAGGGUCUCACUAUGUUUCCCAGGCUGGUCGCAAACUCCUGGCCUCAACUGAUCCUCCUGCCUUGGCCUCCCAAAGUGCUGGGCUAACAGGCAUGAGCCACUGUGCCCAGCCCCACAAAAUUGUUUUUAUAACUCUUCUUAUUAAAAAAAUCUUACACAACUAAUGCUUUGACAAAAAAAGAUUUUGGAAAUGCUUUGUGACUUACUUUAUCUCAGGGCCAUAUUUUCUUAUUUUUAUAAAGAAGAGGUUAUUUCAUGAUUUCACCUAUAUAAAAUUUUUGUAAGUAUGAUAAAUAAAAAAUAAAAUAGCUUGUAUUGACAUUCAUUUUAAUUCAUUACUAUGUUUUGACCCAUAAUAUGAUCAAAUAUCUGAUUUUUUUUUCCCUUAGGAAGCUGAAAGUUCAGUUAGAAAACCAGGCUGAAAUCCAUAUUUAAACUAGCAUAGCACAUCC